UACGUAGGGUGCAAGCGUUGUCCGGAAUUAUUGGGCGUAAAGAGCUCGUAGGCGGUCUGUCACGUCGGCUGUGAAAACCCGAGGCUCAACCUCGGGCCUGCAGUCGAUACGGGCAAACUAGAGUACUGCAGGGGAGACUGGAAUUCCUGGUGUAGCGGUGAAAUGCGCAGAUAUCAGGGAGGAACACCGGUGGCGAAGGCG
rnacentral:rRNA from 1 species